ensembl:lncRNA SRP14-DT SRP14 divergent transcript
GCCCUGGGACGUCCGGGGGCCUGUGACCCGGAGGCGCUGGGGCUGUCCUGGGUCGUCACAUGCGAGAAAUCGUCUCACCCCAGCCAGUGUGACGGAGUGAGAGCAAAAGAAAGUUUUGAUAGCAGCGUACGAUUUAUAUUCAGCUGUAUGCUGGGCAGGUCCAACUUGGCAUUUCUUGGCUGUAUCUCUGAAGGAAAGUCAUCUUAAUCUCUAUGAGCCUCCAUUUCCUCAGCUGUAAAAUGGGAAGAUCUUCCUCACACUGCUGUGGAGAGGAAAUGGCAGCCUAACUCCAGGCAGGGCCCGGGCUCAGAAGGGGGUCUACAGGGCUGAAGAGGCAGCUGGCCAGAGAUUCCACAGGAAGCAUCUUGUUGACACAUCUUCAUCACUUUGGAAUUUGAGCAACAACAUUUACCCCUUCUGAAACUCACCCAGAGGAAGCGGAUUUUCUGACGCAUAUGAAGAGUGAGAACUGUCUACAUCUAAGUCUUCUUUGAGAACAAUACCAGCUGAGCGGCUAUUUACAUUCCAGCUUCUUUUGAGAAUCUCUGAAGAUGAUUAAGUCAUUGUCAGCUGGCCCAGAACCAUAUCCUGCUCCACAAGCCUCGUCCUUGGCAAGAAGUUGCACCUGCCCAGAGAGAAAACCUUUUGAAACUGGCACAAAGGCACUGGAGAGACUGGCAGGGCCCCCUACUUGACGAUCUGGCUCAUCCAUCUGCACACUGACCACGCUAAGAGCUGUCUGCAGUGAUGGAAACCUUCUCUAGCUGUGCUGUCCUCUAUAGUGGCACCAGCUGCCUGUGGCUACUGAGCACUUCAACUGUGGCUGCAGAGACUAUGUUAAAUUGUAUUUAAUCAUAAUUAAUUUAAUUGUAAACAACUACAUGUGGCUAGUGGUUUCUGUACUGGGCACUGCAGGUGCACAUUUCCUGCUGGCCAUGGACAGUAAGCUCCAUAAGAGACUAAUUGUGCCUGGUUUGCUUAUAGGCUUAUCCUCAGCACCUGCACCAGCCUAGAAUAUGAUUGGCACUCUAUUAAUUAAAAGUUCCCAGGUAAAUGAA